rnacentral:rRNA from 1 species
CUACGGGGGGCAGCAGUGGGGAAUAUUGGACAAUGGGCGAAAGCCUGAUCCAGCCAUGCCGCGUGUGUGAAGAAGGCCUUCGGGUUGUAAAGCACUUUCAGUGGGGAAGAAAGCCUUGGGGCUAAUACCCUCGAGGAAGGACAUCACCCACAGAAGAAGCACCGGCUAACUCCGUGCCAGCAGCCGCGGUAAUACGGAGGGUGCGAGCGUUAAUCGGAAUUACUGGGCGUAAAGCGCGCGUAGGCGGUCUGAUAAGCCGGUUGUGAAAGCCCCGGGCUCAACCUGGGAACGGCAUCCGGAACUGUCAGGCUAGAGUGCAGGAGAGGAAGGGAGAAUUCCCGGUGUAGCGGUGAAAUGCGUAGAGAUCGGGAGGAAUACCAGUGGCGAAGGCGGUCUUCUGGACUGACACUGACGCUGAGGUGCGAAAGCGUGGGUAGCAAACAGGAUUAGAUACCCGGGUAGUC